UACGAAGGGGGCUAGCGUUGCUCGGAAUCACUGGGCGUAAAGCGCACGUAGGCGGGUCGUUAAGUCGGGGGUGAAAUCCUGGAGCUCAACUCCAGAACUGCCUUCGAUACUGGCGAUCUUGAGUCUGGGAGAGGUGAGUGGAACUCCGAAUGUAGAGGUGAAAUUCGUAGAUAUUCGGAAGAACACCAGUGGCGAAGGCGGCUCACUGGCCCGGUACUGACGCUGAGGUGCGAAAGCGUGGGGAGCAAACAGG
rnacentral:rRNA from 1 species